UGGCUACAUCACAUUGAAACACCGGUUGCCAUACGAUCACCAAAGUUAAGCAAAGUCGAGCCUGGUCAGUACCUAGAUGAGUGAAUGCUUUGGAAUAACCAGGUGCUGUA